rnacentral:misc_RNA from 1 species
GAUGAAGAACGUAGCGAAAUGCGAUAAGUAGUGUGAAUUGCAGAAUUCAGUGAAUCAUCGAAUCUUUGAACGCACAUUGCGCCCCUUGGUAUCCCGAGGGGCAUGCCUGUUCGAGCGUCAUUUCAUCACUCAAGCCUGGCUUGGUGUUGGGCGACGUCCCCUUUGGGGACGCGCCUCGAAACGCUCGGCGGCGUGGCACCGGCUUUAAGCGUAGCAGAAUCUUUCGCUUUGGAAGUCGGGGCCCCGUCUGCCGGAAGACCUACUCGCAAGGUUGACCUCGGAUCAGGCAGGGAUACCCGAUGAACUUAAGCAUAUCAAUAAGCGGAGGA